rnacentral:ncRNA from 1 species
GCAGGACGGUGGCCAUGGAAGACGGUACCCGCUAAGGAGUGUGUAACAACUCAGCUGCCGA